rnacentral:rRNA from 1 species
GACGAACGCUGGCGGCGUGCUUAACACAUGCAAGUCGAACGGAAAGGCGCUGCUUUUGUGGGGCUCUCGAGUGGCGAACGGGUGAGUAACACGUGAGUAACCUGCCCCUGUCUUUGGGAUAACUUCAGGAAACCGGGGCUAUUACCGGAUAGGAUCUCCUGCUGCAUUGUGGUGGUUGGAAAGUUUCGGCGGUUGGGGAUGGACUCGCGGCUUAUCAGCUUGUUUGUGGGGUAGUGGCUUACCAAGGCUUUGACGGGUAGCCGGCCUGAGAGGGUGACCGGCCACAUUGGGACUGAGAUACGGCCCAGACUCCUACGGGAGGCAGCAGUGGGGAAUAUUGCACAAUGGGCGGAAGCCUGAUGCAGCAACGCCGCGUGCGGGAUGACGGCCUUCGGGUUGUAAACCGCUUUCGCCUGUGACGAAGCGUGAGUGACGGUAAUGGGUAAAGAAGCACCGGCUAACUACGUG